rnacentral:rRNA from 1 species
CAGCUGCGCCAGAGGCACAGGGCUGGGGCAACCCCCCAUACUGGCACGAGGCCAGCUGCCCCGAGCUUUGUGCUCCCCGACUACGGCCUCAGAUCAGAUGUGGCGACCCGCUGAAUUUAAGCAUAUUACUAAGCGCAGGAAAAGGAACUUAGCAGGAUUCCCUCGGUAAUGGUUCCCUCAGUAACGGCCAGUGAAGAGGGAAGAGCACUGCGCCAAAUCCCUGUUCAGCGGCGUGCGUUGGAAAAGUGGCGUACAGAAGACAGACUCCUGGCAUCGCUCAGGGGGCUCAAGUCCUUCUCAUCGAGUCUCACCCCGCGAACAGUGUUAGGCCAGUAGCGGCCUCUGGUACGCCGGGAUCGGGUCUUCUCGGGGUCGGGGGCAGGUGGCUCUCCGCUCCGGCAGAGAGUGUUACAGCCCCCUGACAGCAGUUUAGCUGUGUCCGUGGGGCCGAGGGAGGUUGACAGCCACUGUGCCCUUCUCCAGCAACCAUCCUGACCUCUCUUGGGGGUCGCUGAGGCGGCGACGGAAGACUGGGCUCCCGAUGCGACUGUGGUGGACUGCCCUCAGUGCGCCCUGACCACGUAAUGCCGCGGGCAGGGAGGCCCACAAAGGGCACCAGGGGUCUGAUGUGAUGUUGGUUACCCACCGGACCUUUCUUGAAACACGGACCAAGGAGUCUAACACGUGCACGAGUCGGAGGGCCGAACAAAACCCUGUGGUGCAAUGAAGGUGAGGGCCGGCGCGUGCUGAUUGCGGUGGAAUCCUUUCCCGGUGGGCGCACCACCAAGCCGUCUCGCCCGCUCUGUCAGGGGGAUGAAGUAUGAGCGUGUGUGAUAGGGACUGAUAGAUGGUGAACUAGCUCUGGUGGAGGGCCGUAGCAGUCCUGAUGUGUAAAUCGGUUAUCUGACCUGGGUAUAGGGGCGAAAAACGAAUCAAACCAUCUAGUAGCUGGUUCCCUCCGUAGUUUCCCACAUGAUAGCUGGCGCAUGGAAAACCCAGUUUUAUCUGGUAAAGCAAAUGAUUAGACCUCUUGGGGCCAAAAUGAUCUCAACCUAUUCUCAAACUUUAAAUGGGUAAGAAUCCCAGCUCGCUGGCGUGGAGGCGGACUUUAAAUGCAAGUGCCCUGUGGCCCACUUUUGGUAAGCAGAACUGACGCUGUGGGACGAACUGAACGCUGGGUUAAGGCGCCUGAUGCCAACGCUCAUCCGACACCAUUGUGGUGAUUCAUUGCUAAUGUGAUGUUUGUAUAUGUGGUAUAAAUGUUCCAUGAAGAAUGGUUUGUAUGGAGUAAUUGAAUUGUUUUUUGUAUGAUCAAUUGUUGUGCUUUAUGUGGUUCUAUUUUUCUAAUUUUCCAAAAAGAAUUUCAAUUUUGAUGUAAAAUAAAUGUAUAUGUAUUUUUGUAUUUCGUUGUACUUUAACUAUUCUUUCAAGAUAUAAGUAUGCGUUUUCUAUUUAGGAAUACGUAUAGGGUCUCAGUAUUACACCUGUAUUUUAUUAGUUUGGUGUCCUAUCUCUUUGUUUAAAUAUAGCUAGAGCAUCUGGCCCAUACCCAGCCAGCGCUGAGAGCCGUGGGAGCUUAGUCGUGACAAGUAGGAGGGCUGCUGCGAUGCGCACGGAAGCCCGGGGGGAGUGCCCGGGUGGAGUCGCUGCAGGUGCAGAUCUUGGUGGUAGUAGCAAAUAUUCAAACAAGAAAGUGUGAAGGCAAAAGUGGAGAAGGGUUCCAUGUGAACAGCAGUUGAACAUGGGCCAUUAGGUCCUAAGAAAUGGUUGAGUGCUGUUCGGAAGGGACGGGCGAUGGCCUCCAUUGCACUCAGCCAAUCGAACGGGAGUCGGGUUGAGAUCCCUGAACCCGGAGUGGCGGAGACGGGCUCUCUUGCGGCAUCCAGUGCGAACUCAAACUUUCCCAGAGAUGCUGGCGGGAUCCCGAGGGAGAGUUUUCUUUGUGUAGGGCUGGGUACUCUGGAAUGGGUUCGCCCGAGAGAAGGGUGUAAGCCUUGGAAAGCGUUGCUGUUCCGGCAGCGGCCGGUGACCACUCGCUAUUCCUUCAAAUCCAGUGGAGAUGUGUAGCUCUGGAUGUGAGCCAGGCUCUUCCUGUGGAACGCCCCAGCUGCAGUGGUCGCAUCUAGCCAUUCCGCUCCAGGGUUCAGGUUGGUGUUCUGCCUCGGCUGAUGACUAGCAGCUGACUUAGAACUGGUGCGGACCAGGGGAAUCCGACUGUUAAAUUAAAACAAAGCAUUGCGUAAGGCCCACGGUGGGUGUUGACACGAUUUUCUGCCCAGUGCCCUGAAUGUCAGUGAAGAAAUUCAAUGUAGCAUGGGUAAACGGCGAGAGUAACUAUGACUCUCUUAAAGUAGCCAAAUGCCUCCUCAUCUAAUUAGUGACGCGCAUGAAUGGAGGAACAAGAUUUCACCUGUCCUUACCUAUUAUUAUCUAGCGAAACCACAACCAAGGGAACGGGCUUGGCAGAAUCAGUGAUUCACUCUUGUCUGGCACUGUGAAGAGACAUGAGAGGUGUAGGAUAAGUGGGAGGCCCUGGGGUCGCCGGUGAAAUACCACUACUAUCGUUUUUUCACUUUCCCUGUGAGGGAGCCCUGACUUCAGUGCUCACGACACUGUCCAGGGACAGUGGCAGGUAGGGAGUUUGACUGGGGCGGUACACCUGGCAAACCAUAACGCAGGUGCCCUUAGGCGAGCUCAGGAAGGACAGAAAUCUCCCACGGAGCAGAAUGGCAAAAGCUUGCUUGAUCUCGAUUUUCAUUAUGAAUACAGACAUGAAAUUGGGGCCUCAGGAUCCUUCUGACUCUUUGGGUUUCAAACAGGAGGGGUCAGAAAGUUAUCAGAGGGAUAAGUGGCUUCUGGCGGCCAAGUGUUCACAGCGACGUCACUUUUUGAUCCUUCGAUGUUGGCUCUUCCUAUCAUUGUGAAGCAGAAUUCACCAAGCGUUGUAUUGUUCACCCACUAAUAGGGAACAUGAGCUGGGUUUAGACAGUCGUGAGACAGGUUAGUUUGACCCUACGGAUGAUGUGAUGUUGCAAUAGUAAUCCUGCUCCGUACGAGAGGAACCACAGAUUCAGACAAUUGUUGUAUGUGCUUGGCUGAAGAGCCAAUGGGGCAAAGCUACCAUCUGUGUGAUUACGACUGAGCGCUUUGAAGUCAGAAUCCGCCCCUAACCGUAACAGUACUGCAGCACUGUGGAGCCUCAGUUUGCCUAGGAUAGCCGGACUCUGAGCUGGUGUGUAGAGAAGCUCGCCUCCGGACUUGUGUGUGAACAGAAGGGGAACACCUCUUUCGCCCGUAGUGCACUGC